GGUUAGGUUUGGGGGUAGGUUUUAGGCCCACUGGAUGUCUGGUGCCCAAUUUGGAGAUCCAAAGGAGCUCCGCCCGGUGGCGUUGGGCGAGGCUCCAUUUGGGAUCCGUCUCUACGACAGUCGCCCGGACGGAAGACCACCCGUGUCGGAGAAAAUGCUGAACCAGACUAUGAAGGGCCUCGACUUCUCCGCGUGUCAAAUUGGGAGCGACCGCCGGUGCGCAACCCGAACCGGACAUGGAGAGCCCGUCGGACCGGACCAUAGCCUGGAAUUCCGGAGGCAUAAGUCCAGG